rnacentral:rRNA from 1 species
CCUACGGGUGGCUGCAGUGGGGAAUAUUGGACAAUGGGGGCAACCCUGAUCCAGCCAUGCCGCGUGUGUGAAGAAGGCCUUCGGGUUGUAAAGCACUUUCAGUGAGGAAGAAGGCCUGCGGGUUAAUAGCCGGCAGGAAGGACAUCACUCACAGAAGAAGCACCGGCUAACUCCGUGCCAGCAGCCGCGGUAAUACGGAGGGUGCGAGCGUUAAUCGGAAUUACUGGGCGUAAAGCGCGCGUAGGUGGCUUGAUAAGCCGGUUGUGAAAGCCCCGGGCUCAACCUGGGAACGGCAUCCGGAACUGUCAGGCUAGAGUGCAGGAGAGGAAGGUAGAAUUCCCGGUGUAGCGGUGAAAUGCGUAGAGAUCGGGAGGAAUACCAGUGGCGAAGGCGGCCUUCUGGACUGACACUGACACUGAGGUGCGAAAGCGUGGGUAGCAAACAGGAUUAGAUACCCAGGUAGUC